rnacentral:miRNA from 14 species
AAUUUCUGUCUAUGUAAGGUGGAAUAAUAUUCCAUUGUAUGUACACAUGUAUGCAUGUAUACACAUGCAUACAUAUACAUAUACA